AGCCAAGCCUCUCACCUCAUCUGAGGCUCCCUGGCGGCUGCCUUUGGUCUUCUCACCAUGCCCGGCGCCUGUACUGGGGACCUGUGGCUCUUUUCCACGGGCCAACAACUUCAGGCCUGUAUCCAGAGUUACGAUGUGCAGAAUAAGGAUUCCUUGAAAUGCCCACAUCCUGGUGCCUAGAAACUGUGAUCGGAUAUGGGAACCGUGAUAAAGUUAAGGGUCUUGAGCCUAGGACCUUGGCCUGAGACACCCAUGGAUGCCAUACAACAACCAUUAGUAUCCCAGCCAGGAAAAGAAAGAGGGGAGUCACAUUCUGGGACAACUCGGCAGUCUGAUCCUCUUGAUGCAAGCCAAGGGCUAAAGUCAGCUCUCACCUGUAUCCCUGCCUUGGCCCCCUAGUGAGCUACUCUCUUUCUGACCUUGCUGUGCAGACUCAGCUCCUACACUGGGAAUCCAACCUGACCCAGAAGAGCUUGUCCAGCCAGUUCCCGACCAACCAAGCCUCUUCACUGGUGCCCCUUGUUCUCCCACUCCAGCCUCAUCUUCUCCCAACAGCUUGUACUUUACUCUUGUCUGCUUCAGCAACCUUGAAGACAUCAUCCCUAUCUGCCUGACAGUUCUCCCAUCCCCUCUGGUCUCACCUUGAGCAUUCAUUCCUUGGUCAAGGCUCUCAGAUUCCCCAUGCUGGUCAGAUCUGAGUGUUUACACAGCGUCGUCUUAUUUUCUUUGCCCCGGUCCAGGCUGUCAUGCUGACUCCAGCUGUGGACCUAUUUGAUUGACAUCUGCUUGCCACUGAGCUGCAGGCUGUUUAUGGGGUAGAAGCCAAAUUUGUGUUGCUCUCUCAGUGCCCCCAAGGCCGGCACAAUUUCUGGCAUGCAGAGUUCACUCAGAGAAUAAGUGUUCCAAUGAGCAAAAC
rnacentral:lncRNA from 1 species